CCCUUAGAUGUCCGGGGCUGCACGCGCGCUACACUGUAGAACGCAGCGUGCUUUAAAACCUUUCCUGAAAAGGAUGGGUAACCCCAGCAAAAUUCUACGUGCUUGGGAUAGAGAUUUGCAAUUUUCUCUCUUGAACGAGGAAUUCCCAGUAAGUGCGAGUCAUCAGCUCGCGUUGAUUACGUCCCUGCCCUUUGUACACACCGCCCGUCGCUACUACCGAUUGGGAAAAUUUUAGAGAGUCCUGGACUGAUGAUUGUUCGGCUUCACGGCCUUACUUUCGUCGGGAAAGAAUUCGAUAAUAUUUUUCUAGAGGAAGUAAAAGUCGUAACA
rnacentral:rRNA from 1 species